AUACGUAGGUGGAAAGCGUUGUCCGGAAUUAUUGGGCGUAAAGCGCGCGCAGGUGGUUCCUUAAGUCUGAUGUGAAAGCCCCCGGCUCAACCGGGGAGGGUCAUUGGAAACUGGGGAACUUGAGUGCAGAAGAGGAUAGUGGAAUUCCAAGUGUAGCGGUGAAAUGCGUAGAGAUUUGGAGGAACACCAGUGGCGAAGGCGACUGUCUGGUCUGUAACUGACACUGAGGCGCGAAAGCUUGGGGAGCAAACAGGAUUAGAUACCCUGGUAGUCCACGCCGUAAACGAUGAGUGCUAAGUGUUGGGGGGUUUCCGCCCCUCAGUGCUGCAGCUAACGCAUUAAGCACUCCGCCUGGGGAGUACGGUCGCAAGACUGAAACUCAAAUGAAUUGACGGGG
rnacentral:rRNA from 1 species